UUUGCCUUUUGCGAUACACUUUCAAAGAGUCAGGUUGUUUGGGAAUGCAGCCUAAAUUGGGUGGUAAAUCUCACCUAAAGCUAAAUAUUGGCGAGAAACCGAUAGCGAACAAGUACCGUGAGGGAAAGAUGAAAAGAACUUUGAAAAGAGAGUUAAACAGUAUGUGAAAUUGUUAAAAGGGAACCGUUUGGAGCCAGACUGGCUUGUCUGUAAUCAGUCUAAGUUUCGGCUUGGAUGCACUUGCAGGCUAUGCCUGCCAACGACAAUUUGGCUUGAGGGAAAAAACUAGGGGAAAUGUGGCCCAUUCGUGGGUGUUAUAGUCCCUUAGAAAAUACCUUGGGCUGGAUUGAGGUACGCARCGAAUGCUAUUUGGCGAGUUGGCUGGGAAUAUUUUCUGAGGUGCUCUGGUACUGAGGUUGAUAU
rnacentral:rRNA from 1 species